rnacentral:rRNA from 1 species
GAUGAACGCUGGCGGCGUGCCUAAUACAUGCAAGUCGAGCGAAUGGAUUAAGAGCUUGCUCUUAUGAAGUUAGCGGCGGACGGGUGAGUAACACGAGUGUAACCUGCCCAUAAGACUGGGAUAACUCCGGGAAACCGGGGCUAAUACCGGAUAACAUUUUGGACCGCAUGGUUCGAAAUUGAAAGGCGGCUCCGGCUGUCACUUAUGGAUGGACCCGCGUCGCAUUAGCUAGUUGGUGAGGUAACGGCUCACCAAGGCAACGAUGCGUAGCCGACCUGAGAGGGUGAUCGGCCACACUGGGACUGAGACACGGCCCAGACUCCUACGGGAGGCAGCAGUAGGGAAUCUUCCGCAAUGGACGAAAGUCUGACGGAGCAACGCCGCGUGAGUGAUGAAGGCUUUCGGGUCGUAAAACUCUGUUGUUAGGGAAGAACAAGUGCUAGUUGAAUAAGCUGGCACCUUGACGGUACCUAACCAGAAAGCCACGGCUAACUACGUGCCAGCCGCCGCAGUAA